CGGAGGGUGCGAGCGUUGUCCGGAUUUAUUGGGUUUAAAGGGUGCGUAGGUGGCUUUUUAAGUCAGUGGUGAAAUACAGCCGCUCAACGGUUGAGGUGCCAUUGAUACUGAAAAGCUUGAAACAAGUGGAGGCUGCCGGAAUGGAUGGUGUAGCGGUGAAAUGCAUAGAUAUCAUCCAGAACACCGAUUGCGAAGGCAGGUGGCUACGUUUGAUUUGACACUGAGGCACGAAAGCAUGGGGAGCAAACAGGAUU
rnacentral:rRNA from 1 species